rnacentral:rRNA from 1 species
ACUGCAAGUCGAGCGAACAGACGAGGAGCUUGCUCCUCUGACGUUAGCGGCGGACGGGUGAGUAACACGUGGAUAACCUACCUAUAAGACUGGGAUAACUUCGGGAAACCGGAGCUAAUACCGGAUAAUAUAUUGAACCGCAUGGUUCAAUAGUGAAAGACGGUUUUGCUGUCACUUAUAGAUGGAUCCGCGCCGCAUUAGCUAGUUGGUAAGGUAACGGCUUACCAAGGCAACGAUGCGUAGCCGACCUGAGAGGGUGAUCGGCCACACUGGAACUGAGACACGGUCCAGACUCCUACGGGAGGCAGCAGUAGGGAAUCUUCCGCAAUGGGCGAAAGCCUGACGGAGCAACGCCGCGUGAGUGAUGAAGGUCUUCGGAUCGUAAAACUCUGUUAUUAGGGAAGAACAAAUGUGUAAGUAACUAUGCACGUCUUGACGGUACCUAAUCAGAAAGCCACGGCUAACUACGUGCCAGCAGCCGCGGUAAUACGUAGGUGGCAAGCGUUAUCCGGAAUUAUUGGGCGUAAAGCGCGCGUAGGCGGUUUUUUAAGUCUGAUGUGAAAGCCCACGGCUCAACCGUGGAGGGUCAUUGGAAACUGGAAAACUUGAGUGCAGAAGAGGAAAGUGGAAUUCCAUGUGUAGCGGUGAAAUGCGCAGAGAUAUGGAGGAACACCAGUGGCGAAGGCGACUUUCUGGUCUGUAACUGACGCUGAUGUGCGAAAGCGUGGGGAUCAAACAGGAUUAGAUACCCUGGUAGUCCACGCCGUAAACGAUGAGUGCUAAGUGUUAGGGGGUUUCCGCCCCUUAGUGCUGCAGCUAACGCAUUAAGCACUCCGCCUGGGGAGUACGACCGCAAGGUUGAAACUCAAAGGAAUUGACGGGGACCCGCACAAGCGGUGGAGCAUGUGG